UACGUAGGGGGCAAGCGUUGUCCGGAAUUAUUGGGCGUAAAGGGCUCGUAGGUGGUCCGUCACGUCGGGAGUGAAAUCCUGGGGCUUAACCCCAGAACUGCUUCCGAUACGGGCAGACUAGAGGUAGGUAGGGGAGAAUGGAAUUCCUGGUGUAGCGGUGGAAUGCGCAGAUAUCAGGAGGAACACCAGUGGCGAAGGCGGUUCUCUGGGCCUUACCUGACGCUGAGGAGCGAAAGCGUGGGGAGCAAACAGG
rnacentral:rRNA from 1 species